GUGUCAGCAGCCGCGGUAAAACGUAGGCGACAAACGUUAUCCGUAGUUACUGGGCGUAAAGGGCGUGUAGGUGGUUUCGUAAGUCUGGCGUGAAAUUUUUCGGCUUAACCGGGAAAGGUCGUCGGAUACUGCGGAGCUAGAGGACGGUAGAGGCGUGUGGAAUUCCGGGUGUAGUGGUGAAAUGCGUAGGGAUCCGGAGGAACACCAGUGGCGAAGGCGACACGCUGGGCCGUACCUGACACUGAUGCGCGACAGCAUGGGGAGCAAACAGGAUUAGAUACCCUGGUAGUCC
rnacentral:rRNA from 1 species